rnacentral:rRNA from 1 species
UGGAUCGUUCAUACCAUGGUGAAAACCGCCCAUCCCAUCAGCACUGGGCACGUAAGCACCAUUGGGCCAGAUCAGUAGUACGGUGGGGGACCACGUGCGAACCCCUGGUGACGAUCUGU